UGAUGCGAUCAUACCAGCACUAAAGCACCGAAUCUCAUCAGAACACCGAAGUUAAGCGUGCUUGGGCGAGAGUAUUACUAGGAUGGGUGAUCUCCUGGGAAGUCCUCGUGUUGCAUUCC
rnacentral:rRNA from 1 species